CCUACGGGUGGCAGCAGUCGAGAAUCAUGCACAAUGGGGGAAACCCUGAUGGGGCGACGCCGCGUGGGGGAAUGAAGGUCUGCGGAUUGUAAACCCCUGUCAUGUGGGAGCAAAUUAAAAAGAUAGUACCACAAGAGGAAGAGACGGCUAACUCUGUGCCAGCAGCCGCGGGAAUACAGAGGUCUCAAGCGUUGUUCGGAAUCACUGGGCGUAAAGCGUGCGGAGGCUGUUUCGUAAGUCGUGUGUGAAAGGCGCGGGCUCAACCCGCGGACGGCACAUGAUACUGGGAGACUAGAGUAAUGGAGGGGGAACCGGAAGUCUCGGUGUAGCAGUGAAAUGCGUAGAUAUCGCGAGGAACACUCGUGGCGAAGGCGGGUUCCUGGACAUUAACUGACGCUGAGGCACGAAGGCCAGGGGAGCGAAAGGGAUUAGAUACCCCAGUAGUC
rnacentral:rRNA from 1 species